rnacentral:rRNA from 1 species
CCUACGGGAGACAGCAGUGAGGAAUAUUGGGCAAUGGCCGCAAGCCUGACCCAGCAACGCCGCGUGAAGGACGAUGGCUUACGGGUUGUAAACUUCUUUUGACCGGGAAGAGUAGAAGACGGUACCUGCCGAAUAAGACUCGGUUAACUAGGUGCCGGCAGCGGCGGUAAUACGGAGGUGGCAAGCUUUGUCCGGAUUUACUGGGUGUAAGGGGCGUGUAGCUGGGUUGACAAGUCAGAUGUGAAAGCCUGCGGCUUAAGCGCAGAACUGCAUUUGAAACUGUUGAUCUUGAGUACUGGAGAGGCAGAAGGAAUGCCUAGUGUAGCGGUGAAAUGCGUAGAUAUUAGGCGGAACACCAGUGGCGAAGGCGGUCUGCGGGACAGCGACUGACGGUGAGGCGCGAAAGCGUGGGGAGCAAACAGGAUUAGAUACCCUGGUAGUC